AAGAGAAAGAGGGAUUCGAACCCUCGUUAAGAAAAUUCUUAAAUAGCAUUUCCAAUGCUACGCUUUAAACCACUCAGCCAUUUCUCC
rnacentral:tRNA from 1 species